rnacentral:rRNA from 1 species
UACGGGGGGGGCAAGCGUUGUUCGGAAUUACUGGGCGUAAAGGGCUCGUAGGCGGCCAACUAAGUCAGACGUGAAAUCCCUCGGCUUAACCGGGGAACUGCGUCUGAUACUGGAUGGCUUGAGUUUGGGAGAGGGAUGCGGAAUUCCAGGUGUAGCGGUGAAAUGCGUAGAUAUCUGGAGGAACACCGGUGGCGAAGGCGGCAUCCUGGACCAACACUGACGCUGAGGAGCGAAAGCCAGGGAGCAAACGGG